GAUCAUCUCAUGCACUGUAGGGGGACCUCGAGGAGCACAAAUGCGCCCAGUUACUGUGAUCAAACACCACAUAUCACACUGUAUGACACUCCCACCUGCAUCUCUUUGUCUCUGUAACUUCACUGGCAGUUAUGUGUUUGACUUUGACUUUCUGAACAUGGACAUCACACAACACUGUCUCCUCAGCUUGUUGUUAUUUCUGCUCUGGACAAAUGGUCUGACUGAUGGAAGUGAUGUCAAACAGACUGACAUACUGUGGAAAGACGAGGGUGACAGUGCAACAAUGAACUGCAGUCACACCAAGACUGCAGGCUUUUCCCAGAUGUACUGGUACAGACAGCUUCCAGGAGAAACAAUGGAACUUAUAGUGUACACAGCACUCGGCAAAGUUAAUCACGACUUUGGAAAUUUCAGUGAAAAGAAAUUCUCAGCCACCAAACCUGACUACAAGACUGGGACAUUCACAGUGAAGAAUCUGGAGCCAGGAGAUAAAGGCUUGUAUUUCUGUGCUGUGAGCGAACACAGUGAUACAGACACAUGAGAGCGCUGAACAAAAACCUCAGUGCACUGUUGGCAUCACUGUCACAUCGUCUCAUGCACUGUAGGGGGACCUCGAGGAGCACAAAUGUACCAAGUUACUGUGAUCAAACGCCACAUAUCACACUAUAUGACACUCCCACAUGCAUCUCUUUGUCUCUGUAACUUCACCGGCAGUUAUGUGUUCGACUCUGACUUUCUGAACAUGGACAUCACAAAACAUGGUCUCUCCAGCAUGCUGCUACUUCUGCUCUUGAUGAAAGGUGAAGUACAAAUGCACCAGUACUCUGCAGUAUUGACUAGAAUAUUCAAAGGAUAAUCAACAAAAAGUCAAAAAACAAAAAAAUGUUCUAUUUUAUGCAAAUUGAUAUGUACACCUCAGGUAUUGUUAACUGUUUUUCACACAGGUCUGACUGAUGGAAGUGAUGUCAAACAGACUGACAUGCUGUGGAAAGACGAGGGUGACAGUGCAACAAUGAACUGCAGUCACACAAAGACUGCCAGCUAUUACCAGAUGUACUGGUACAGACAGCUUCCAGGACAGACG